rnacentral:rRNA from 2 species
GAGUUUGAUCAUGCUCAGAACGAACGCUGGCGGCGUGCUUAACACAUGCAAGUCACGGGGGCCCGCAAGGGCAACCGGCGAACGGGUGCGUAACACGUGAGCAAGCUUCCGAUUUGUGGGGGAUAGCCGGCCUAACGGCCGGGUAAUACCGCAUACGUUCACUGGGCGGCAUCGUCUGGUGAGGAAACCUCCGGGGCAAAUCGAGGCGCUCGCGGCCUAUCAGCUAGUUGGCGGGGUAAUGGCCCACCAAGGCGACGACGGGUAGCUGGUCUGAGAGGAUGGCCAGCCACAUUGGGACUGCGACACGGCCCAGACUCCUACGGGAGGCAGCAGUGGGGAAUAUUGCGCAAUGGACGAAAGUCUGACGCAGCGACGCCGCGUGUGGGAUGAAGCUCUUCGGGGUGUAAACCACUGUUGCCCGGGACGAAAUGCCCUUUCGAGGGAAUUGACGGUACCGGGUGAGGAAGCACCGGCUAACUCUGUGCCA